rnacentral:rRNA from 1 species
UACGUAGGGGGCAAGCGUUAUCCGGAUUUACUGGGUGUAAAGGGGGCGCAGACGGCAAUGCAAGCCAGGAGUGAAAGCCCGGGGCCCAACCGCGGGACUGCAUUGGGAACUACCGGGCUGGAGUGCCGGAGAGGUAGGCGGAAUUCCUAGUGUAGCGGUGAAAUGCGUAGAUAUUAGGAGGAACACCAGUGGCGAAGGCGGCCUACUGGACGGUGACUGACGCUGAGGCUCGAAAGCGUGGGGAGCAAACAGG